rnacentral:rRNA from 1 species
AUUGAACGCUGGCGGCAUGCUUUACACAUGCAAGUCGAACGGUAACAGGGUGCUUGCACCGCUGACGAGUGGCGAACGGGUGAGUAAUGCGUCGGAACGUGCCGAGUAGUGGGGGAUAACGCAUCGAAAGGUGUGCUAAUACCGCAUACGUACUGAGGUAGAAAGUGGGGGACCUUCGGGCCUCACGCUAUUCGAGCGGCCGACGUCUGAUUAGCUAGUUGGUGAGGUAAAGGCUCACCAAGGCGACGAUCAGUAGCGGGUCUGAGAGGAUGAUCCGGCACACUGGGACUGAGACACGGCCCAGACUCCUACGGGAGGCAGCAGUGGGGAAUUUUGGACAAUGGGCGCAAGCCUGAUCCAGCCAUGCCGCGUGUCUGAAGAAGGCCUUCGGGUUGUAAAGGACUUUUGUCCGGGAGCAAAUGCCUGGUGUUAACAGCACUGGGAGCUGAGAGUACCGGAAGAAUAAGCACCGGCUAACUACGUGCCAGCCGCCGCAGUAAAAC